CCUACGGGUGGCUGCAGUAGGGAAUCUUCCACAAUGGGCGAAAGCCUGAUGGAGCAACGCCGCGUGGGUGAAGAAGGUCUUCGGAUCGUAAAACCCUGUUGUUAGAGAAGAAAGUGAGGGAGAGUAACUGUUCACGUGUAGACGGUAUCUAACCAGAAAGCCACGGCUAACUACGUGCCAGCAGCCGCGGUAAUACGUAGGUGGCAAGCUUUAUCCGGAUUUAUUGGGAGUAAAGGGAACGCAGGCUUUCUUUUAAGUGUGAGGUGAAAGCCUUCGGCUUAACCGGAGUAGUGCAUUGGAAUCUGGGAGACUUGAUUGCAGAAGAGGAGAGUGGAACUCCCUGUGUAGCGGUGAACUGCGUAGAUAUAUG
rnacentral:rRNA from 1 species